AUAAAAUUAAAGAGCAGAAGAAAACAGCUGUCAAGCGCUUUGGCAGCAAGAAAUUUUGUACUGUAGUAAAAACUGAAAAGAGCGCUGUUUUCUCACUCUCACAUUCACACAUUUCUCAUUCCCACGACUCAUCAUCAGCUUCGCUAGCCGCUAGGGUUUUACCUCCGAUCCAACUCGCCGGGUCCACUCUCCAAUCUCAAAUUUUUUUGAAAUACAUGCGGUGGAAAAGUGUGAAAAUGUAGGUAAGUUUGUUUGAAAGGUGAGAAUUGAUGUUUGAACUUGGUGACCAAACAGGCCCCAACCCCAAAACCCUUUUUUCUCUCUUUCUUUGAAGCUUGAAGGAACUAGCAAUGUCAGACAACUUACCUGAACUCACCAAGUCCUUCACUGAAGAUUUACCCAACGAAGAAGAAUCGGUUUUGGACUGUCUGCCUCCCGAAAUCCUACCAGAAAUUCUCAUUCGACUGCCUACAAAAGCCAUCAUCAAGUGCACCUCCGUCUGCAAGACAUGGAAAUCACUCAUCCAAAGCCACAAGCCCAGAAAGUUCAAAACCAGAAAAUCAUCAAAUCCCAGAAGCCACAACCCACACUUCUUCAAUCACCAAACUCGCUUUGAAACCCAGAGCACGACCACCACACUUCUUAAAUCACCACCCUCAUUCAGUUAAUCUUCAACCAAAGCGCCACCUUGAACCCAUUUCAACUUCACUGGUUUUGCGUUGGGCCGCCGCCAACCAUGCCGUGACAGCAACCGAAUAAAUACAAGGCCGAUCUGCAAGUCAAGAGUCAAGAUCCAAAUCAAUAAAAAGGCUGAUCUGCCUCGUGACGGAGGUGGAGGACUGGCCAGAGGGAUGAGGAAGAUGAUGCAGCGGUGGAGGGCAUAGAGCUGAAGGCUAAAGCUCUCUGGUCUACAAAUUGUUUUGAUUUUGAUUUUUGGGGUUUCAAGGGAAUAAUGGUUGAUUGGCUUCAAAAUGGUUCAGAUUUGGGUUAAUCUCAAAAACAACUUGGAUGUGGGCUUCGACAAUGUAUGUGGGUUUUGGAAAUUUGGUACAGAUUAAGGUUAUUUUCUUUCUACCAA